GACGGACGCUGGCGGCGUGCCUAAUACAUGCAAGUCGAACGAACGGAUAAAGAGCUUGCUCUUUUGAAGUUAGUGGCGACGGGUGAGUAACACGUGGGUAACCUGCCUCACAGCUGGGGAUAACAUCGAGAAAUCGAUGCUAAUACCGAAUGUGCUGAACAUCAUAAGAUGUUCAAGUGAAAGACGGUUUCGGCUGUCACUGUGAGAUGGACCCGCGCUGGAUUAGCUAGUUGGUAAGGUAAUGGCUUACCAAGGCGACGAUCCAUAGCCGACCUGAGAGGUGAUCGGCCACAUUGGGACUGAGACACGGCCC
rnacentral:rRNA from 1 species